rnacentral:rRNA from 1 species
GAUGAACGCUGGCGGCGUGCCUAAUACAUGCAAGUCGAGCGAACAGAUAAGGAGCUUGCUCCUUUGACGUUAGCGGCGGACGGGUGAGUAACACGUGGGUAACCUACCUAUAAGACUGGAAUAACUCCGGGAAACCGGGGCUAAUGCCGGAUAACAUUUAGAACCGCAUGGUUCUAAAGUGAAAGAUGGUUUUGCUAUCACUUAUAGAUGGACCCGCGCCGUAUUAGCUAGUUGGUAAGGUAACGGCUUACCAAGGCAACGAUACGUAGCCGACCUGAGAGGGUGAUCGGCCACACUGGAACUGAGACACGGUCCAGACUCCUACGGGAGGCAGCAGUAGGGAAUCUUCCGCAAUGGGCGAAAGCCUGACGGAGCAACGCCGCGUGAGUGAUGAAGGUCUUCGGAUCGUAAAACUCUGUUUUAGGGAAGAACAAAUGUGUAAGUAACUGUGCACGUCUUGACGGUACCUAAUCAGAAAGCCACGGCUAACUACGUG